CGAAACCCGGUGAUCUAGCCAUGGGCAGGUUGAAGGUUGGGUAACACUAACUGGAGGACCGAACCGACUAAUGUUGAAAAAUUAGCGGAUGACUUGUGGCUGGGGGGGAAAGGCCAAUCAAACCGGGAGAUAGCUGGUUCUCCCCGAAAGCUAUUUAGGUAGCGCCUCGUGAAUUCAUCUCCGGGGGUAGAGCACUGUUUCGGCAAGGGGGUCAUCCCGACUUACCAACCCGAUGCAAACUGCGAAUACCGGAGAAUGUUAUCACGGGAGACACACGGCGGGUGCUAACGUCCGUCGUGAAGAGGGAAACAACCCAGACCGCCAGCUAAGGUCCCAAAGUCAUGGUUAAGUGGGAAACGAUGUGGGAAGGCCCAGACAGCCAGGAUGUUGGCUUAGAAGCAGCCAUCAUUUAAAGAAAGCGUAAUAGCUCACUGGUCGAGUCGGCCUGCGCGGAAGAUGUAACGGGGCUAAACCAUGCACCGAAGCUGCGGCAGCGACACUAUGUGUUGUUGGGUAGGGGAGCGUUCUGUAAGCCUGUGAAGGUGUGCUGUGAGGCAUGCUGGAGGUAUCAGAAGUGCGAAUGCUGACAUAAGUAACGAUAAAGCGGGUGAAAAGCCCGCUCGCCGGAAGACCAAGGGUUCCUGUCCAACGUUAAUCGGGGCAGGGUGAGUCGACCCCUAAGGCGAGGCCGAAAGGCGUAGUCGAUGGGAAACAGGUUAAUAUUCCUGUACUUGGUGUUACUGCGAAGGGGGGACGGAGAAGGCUAUGUUGGCCGGGCGACGGUUGUCCCGGUUUAAGCGUGUAGGCUGGUUUUCCAGGCAAAUCCGGAAAACUAAGGCUGAGGCGUGAUGACGAGGCACUACGGUGCUGAAGCAACAAAUGCCCUGCUUCCAGGAAAAGCCUCUAAGCAUCAGGUAACAUCAAAUCGUACCCCAAACCGACACAGGUGGUCAGGUAGAGAAUACCAAGGCGCUUGAGAGAACUCGGGUGAAGGAACUAGGCAAAAUGGUGCCGUAACUUCGGGAGAAGGCACGCUGAUAUGUAGGUGAAGCGACUUGCUCGUGGAGCUGAAAUCAGUCGAAGAUACCAGCUGGCUGCAACUGUUUAUUAAAAACACAGCACUGUGCAAACACGAAAGUGGACGUAUACGGUGUGACGCCUGCCCGGUGCCGGAAGGUUAAUUGAUGGGGUUAGCGCAAGCGAAGCUCUUGAUCGAAGCCCCGGUAAACGGCGGCCGUAACUAUAACGGUCCUAAGGUAGCGAAAUUCCUUGUCGGGUAAGUUCCGACCUGCACGAAUGGCGUAAUGAUGGCCAGGCUGUCUCCACCCGAGACUCAGUGAAAUUGAACUCGCUGUGAAGAUGCAGUGUACCCGCGGCAAGACGGAAAGACCCCGUGAACCUUUACUAUAGCUUGACACUGAACAUUGAGCCUUGAUGUGUAGGAUAGGUGGGAGGCUUUGAAGUGUGGACGCCAGUCUGCAUGGAGCCGACCUUGAAAUACCACCCUUUAAUGUUUGAUGUUCUAACGUUGGCCCGUUAUCCGGGUUGCGGACAGUGUCUGGUGGGUAGUUUGACUGGGGCGGUCUCCUCCUAAAGAGUAACGGAGGAGCACGAAGGUUGGCUAAUCCUGGUCGGACAUCAGGAGGUUAGUGCAAUGGCAUAAGCCAGCUUGACUGCGAGCGUGACGGCGCGAGCAGGUGCGAAAGCAGGUCAUAGUGAUCCGGUGGUUCUGAAUGGAAGGGCCAUCGCUCAACGGAUAAAAGGUACUCCGGGGAUAACAGGCUGAUACCGCCCAAGAGUUCAUAUCGACGGCGGUGUUUGGCACCUCGAUGUCGGCUCAUCACAUCCUGGGGCUGAAGUAGGUCCCAAGGGUAUGGCUGUUCGCCAUUUAAAGUGGUACGCGAGCUGGGUUUAGAACGUCGUGAGACAGUUCGGUCCCUAUCUGCCGUGGGCGCUGGAGAACUGAGGGGGGCUGCUCCUAGUACGAGAGGACCGGAGUGGACGCAUCACUGGUGUUCGGGUUGUCAUGCCAAUGGCACUGCCCGGUAGCUAAAUGCGGAAGAGAUAAGUGCUGAAAGCAUCUAAGCACGAAACUUGCCCCGAGAUGAGUUCUCCCUGACUCCCUGAGAGUCCUGAAGGAACGUUGAAGACGACGACGUUGAUAGGCCGGGUGUGUAAGCGCAGCGAUGCGUUGAGCUAACCGGUACUAAUGAACCGUGAGGCUUAACCU
rnacentral:rRNA from 1 species